AAGGGAGAAGAGGGUGUUCUCUGCUUUCUACAGUUAUGGAGUCCCUGUGGGGCCGCUGUUUCCCCUCCCAGGCUCUAAUGCUCAGGAUCCCCCUGCUCCUGGCUAUUCCCUCACCAAGCUUCCAGGCUAUGGCCGACCCCAGCUCCUCCCACACCCUGGAAAGGACCGUUGGGGACUCUGUCCAGCUGCACCUGAUCUCCUCCUUGUCCCCUAAUGUCCGAGAGGUUGAGUGGAGUUGGCAAUCUGAGUCCGAGAAACAACAGUUCCUGGUGUCCUGGAAGCCUGAUGACUCUGGUCCUGACUGGUAUGAGCUUGAAGGAAAAUUCAGGAGCAGUCUCUCCCUGACAGAGAUGGCAGUUUUGAGCAUCAGGAAUCUCAGUACGGAAAUGAGUGGAUGGUAUACAGCAAAUGUCAAAUUCCGCACAGGAAAAUCCCAGAAGGAGGUCUUUAGACUCUGUGUAUAUGAGCCCAUCCCCCACCCCCAGAUUGUGAUUCAUUCACCAAUCAACCCAGCAGGCUGGUGCCAGGUCAGCCUGGAGUGUGAGACCCCAGGAUCUACAGAGAACUGGACAGUGACCUGGCUGACUGAGGGCCUCCCCAGGGAGCUGGAGCAGAGCGGGGCUCUGAGGCCAGCCCCCAGCUCCAGGAAUGUAAACCUGCGCCUGCCCCUGAGCCAGGUGAAUGGCUACCUCACCUGUUUGGUCAGCAACCCUGUGGAGGAGAAGAAUGCCACCUUGCCCCUGCAGAGCAUCUGUCUGGUCAGGGGUUCUCCUGACCACAAAUGGCUUUGGAUAGGCGUCCUGUCCACGCUUCUAAUGAUGAGCCUGGCUGGUGGAGUGUACGUCUGCAUGAGGAAGAAGAUGCAGUCCAGGAGGGGUGGAAAGCUGGGACCCAGCAGUACCGAGGGCCGGCCCACUCUGCUGCCCACAGAGCCAGGCUCAGCCGGUGUUCCCCAGGCCCUUCCCACAGAGGAACCUGCUGGCCUGCAGACUGGUAGGGCCAACAGCCACUGCCGUCCCGACGUGGAGAUGAGCCUCCUGAGACACCACAAGAAUGACAUGGAGAGGAGUGGCGGCCAUCCCCUCAGCUCUGAGUGCACCCCAACAGUCUACACUAUCUACGAGAAGGUCCGGCUGAGCCGAGAGCCCCAGGAAGACACCUAGGUCGACGGAGAUGUCAGAGCAUGAGGGGCCUUGGCAAGAUCUGCCCCACCCUACACUCCACCUAAGGCCCCCCAAAUCCCUCCUUAGGUGGAGCGAAGACAAGCCCCCAGGUCUUCCUGCUGUACCCCCCAAGACAAUAGAGCAGCACCACAUGUCCCUGGGCUCCUCACAAAGUUCUUCUCACUUCACAGGUCGUGAACGUUGACCAUGCUGCCUGAGCGUCCAGCACGAGAGACUGGUCCUCGGGCGGGCAGUUGGAUUUCCGACCUUGACCCACUUAUUCCAGUGAGGGAAUACCCAUAGUCAGGCAAGACCUGCGGAGGCAUUUCUGGGAACAGAGAUGUUUUCCUGGAAUUGGGCGGGCCUUGGAUGGAGGACCGCCAGAUGUCACUGCCCAGCCCACCCCCAUGAACAGAGGAGGGAUGGCCCUGGGAAGGUCAAGUCCAGGGUCAGCUUCAGCUCUGCCAGAGGAAGGAAACAGCUCCUGAGCUCCAUCACCUGCAGGCUUACUGUAAACACCAGAAACGCACUAUCCCAAGGUCUCUCUUCAAAGUUCAAGCAAUUUCUCGACCCUUUUUUUUAUUACUUAAUAUAUGUAAAUUGCAAGAAAGUCAAAGGCAUGUCUCCUUGAAAUUAUAUUUCAUCAGUUUUGUUGCAAAUAGGAUCCUGUUCCUGUUGUAUCUUCUAAUUAGUUGUUAAAAUAACACAUAUUAAACACAUAUUGUCACAUCGCUGUUUCUCUACUGCUUGAAACAGCUUUUCAGUUGAUCCCUUUGAAUUUCUGGGCAAAGAACCAUAUUAUCGACAAAUAAUUAUAAUUUUUCCUUCCUUCUUUCCAAUUUUUAUGCUUCAUUCCUCUCCUGUUGUCUCACUAUGCUGGCAAAUACCUCCCAGACCAUGUUUAAGAGGAGUGAUUCUGAAGCACAUCCUUGUUUUGUUCCUAAUUUAUUGUAAGUGCUCCGAGGGCAUCCUUGUUAUUAGUAGAUUUCCUCCUAUUGAACUAUUCUUGUGGUAUUGGAAUAAAUCCCAGUUGAUGUAUUAUUCUCUUAAUGUG
rnacentral:lncRNA from 1 species